GUCGUCCCGUUCUUUGGAAGGACCUGGGCAGGUUUUAUAUGUUGGAAGGCCUGCAUUAUACAUUCUGGUCUUCAGGACUCCUGUGCUCGGCCCUCUCUGUGUACCUCUGGGCCCGUAACCUCCUGGCCUUCCUAACACUGUGGAGCAUCACAGCCUCAUGGCGAAGAACAGCCUCUGGCAUGGGCCCCCUCCCCCCAUAGCAGGGCUGAGGCGGGGCUCGGGUUCCUCUCACCCUUGCUGGACCCAAAUGGCAACCGCACACCACAGUCCCUGGGAUCUGCCUACAGGGGACCGGGCAACUGCUCAGAACUGCAGGGCAAAUUUUGACCAGUGAAAGGAGGAAAGAUCCGGUGCUUGGAUCGUAGUGGUCUCACCGGGCCUGUCAGGAGAUUCGAGUAGGCACGACUGGGCAACCGACAGUGUGUUCUUCUGAAGACCUGGCCAGCUCAGUAGCACACAGCCUCGUGUUCCCUUGUUUGUUCCACUCCCCUUGCCUGCUCACGUCUGUUGCCCGAGGGUCGUAUCCCUCAAUAAAGGAUUAGCAAGCAAGCAUUGCUUCAUGCUCUGUCUCCCCAGGAACUACAGACAAUUGGUACCACAAGUGACCCUAGAAAGCCGAUCUUCAGGAUGGAAUGUUGGGGCCGGACUGCGAUCUGUCUGGAAGCAAUACGAGCCCCAUUACGGAUGUGAACUUGGGAGGCAGAUACUGGUGAUGGUGAGGAUGAUGAUAAACAGAAUGAGGAAGACCAACGCGAAUGAACUGAGGGUUACUGUGUUCUAGACACUAAGCAUGUUAUUCCACUUAAUCCUUAUCACCCCAAGAGGUAGGUGUCACUAUUCUCAUUUAACAAGAGAGGAUUUUGGGGGGGGCUCAGGGAGAUGACAGACUUGCCCAAGGUCGUAUGAAAGCCCAGUCCUGCAGACUCUUCGGCCAGUGUUUCUUUCGGCUGACUGUUCAUGGUGCUUAGUUCUCUCUGACUCCAUGGACAGGGGCACAUGCCUCACCCCACCGGUCACAUCAAGGUGCUCAUGGUUCAUGAAGCUCUGAACAGUGAUGUUUAUAAAAG
rnacentral:lncRNA from 1 species